rnacentral:SRP_RNA from 1 species
GCCUGGCAUGGUGGCACUUGCCUAUAGUUCCAGUUACUCCGGAGGCUGAGGUGGGAGGAUCGCUUGAGCCCAGGAGUUCUGGGCUGUAGUGCGCUAUGCCGAUUGGGUGUCUGUACUAAGUUUGGCAUCAAUAUGGUGACCUCCUGAGAGCGGGGCACCACCAGGUUGCCUAAGGAGGCGUGAACCGGCCAGGUCAGAAACAGAGCAGGUCAAAACUCCUGUGCUGAUCAGUAGCGGGAUCGCGCCUGUGAAUAGCCACUGCACUCCAGCCUGGGCAACAUAGUGAGACCCUGUCUCU